CCUACGGGAGGCAGCAGUGAGGAAUAUUGGUCAAUGGGCUAAGGCCUGAACCAGCCAAGUCGCGUGAGGGAAGACGGUCCUAUGGAUUGUAAACCUCUUUUGUCGGGGAGCAACGAGGCCACGUGUGGCCGAAGUGAGAGUACCCGAAGAAAAAGCAUCGGCUAACUCCGUGCAAGCAGCCGCGGUAAUACGGAGGAUGCGAGCGUUAUCCGGAUUUAUUGGGUUUAAAGGGUGCGUAGGCGGAACAUUAAGUCCGAGGUAAAAUUGGGAGGCUCAACCUCUUCGAGCCGUUGAAACUGGUUUUCUGGAGUGAGCGAGAAGUAUGCGGAAUGCGUGGUGUAGCGGUGAAAUGCAUAGAUAUCACGCAGAACUCCGAGUGCGAAGGCAGCAUACCGGCGCUCAACUGACGCUCAUGCACGAAAGUGUGGGUAGCGAACAGGAUUAGAUACCCUUGUAGUC
rnacentral:rRNA from 1 species